rnacentral:rRNA from 1 species
AGAGUUUGAUCCUGGCUCAGGAUGAACGCUAGCUACAGGCUUAACACAUGCAAGUCGAGGGGCAGCGGGUUGAAAGCUUGCUUUCAAUGCCGGCGACCGGCGCACGGGUGCGUAACGCGUAUCAAACCUGCCUCAUACUCGGGGAUAGCCUUGCGAAAGUAAGAUUAAUACCCGAUGUUGUUGCUUUCUCGCAUGGGAGAGUAACCAAAGAUUUAUCGGUAUGAGAUGGUGAUGCGUCCGAUUAGGUAGUAGGCGGGGUAACGGCCCACCUAGCCUUCGAUCGGUAGGGGUUCUGAGAGGAAGGUCCCCCACACUGGAACUGAGACACGGUCCAGACUCCUACGGGAGGCAGCAGUGAGGAAUAUUGGUCAAUGGGCGAGAGCCUGAACCAGCCAAGUCGCGUGAAGGAUGACUGUCUUAUGGAUUGUAAACUUCUUUUAUACGGGAAUAACAAGAGUCACGUGUGGCUCCCUGCAUGUACCGUAUGAAUAAGCAUCGGCUAACUCCGUGCCAGCAGCCGCGGUAAUACGGAGGAUGCGAGCGUUAUCCGGAUUUAUUGGGUUUAAAGGGUGCGUAGGCGGCCUGUUAAGUCAGCGGUGAAAUCUAGGAGCUUAACUCCUAAAUUGCCAUUGAUACUGGCGGGCUUGAGUGUAGAUGAGGUAGGCGGAAUGCGUGGUGUAGCGGUGGAAUGCAUAGAUAUCACGCAGAACUCCGAUUGCGAAGGCAGCUUACUAAGGUACAACUGACGCUGAAGCACGAAAGCGUGGGUAUCAAACAGGAUUAGAUACCCUGGUAGUCCACGCAGUAAACGAUGAUAACUGGGCGUAUGCGAUAUACAGUAUGCUCCUAAGCGAAAGCGUUAAGUUAUCCACCUGGGGAGUACGCCGGCAACGGUGAAACUCAAAGGAAUUGACGGGGGCCCG